UACGGCCAUAUCAAACACAGGUUACCGCACGAUCACCAGAGUUAAGCAACAUCGAGCCACGUCAGUACUUAAAUGGGUGACCGCUUGGGAAUUCCAGGUGCUAUA